rnacentral:rRNA from 1 species
UACGUAGGGUGCAAGCGUUAUCCGGAAUUAUUGAGCGUAAAGAGCUCGUAGGCGGUUUGUCGCGUCUGCUGUGAAAACUGGAGGCUCAACCUCCAGCCUGCAGUGGGUACGGGCAGACUAGAGUGCGGUAGGGGAGAUUGGAAUUCCUGGUGUAGCGGUGGAAUGCGCAGAUAUCAGGAGGAACACCGAUGGCGAAGGCAGAUCUCUGGGCCGUAACUGACGCUGAGGAGCGAAAGCAUGGGGAGCGAACAGG